AUUGAACGCUGGCGGCAUGCCUUACACAUGCAAGUCGAACGGCAGCACGGGAGCAAUCCUGGUGGCGAGUGGCGAACGGGUGAGUAAAGUAUCGGAACGUGCCCAGUCGUGGGGGAUAACGUAGCGAAAGUUACGCUAAUACCGCAUACGAUCUAUGGAUGAAAGCGGGGGAUCGCAAGACCUCGCGCGAUCGGAGCGGCCGAUAUCAGAUUAGGUAGUUGGGGGGGUAAAGGCUCACCAAGCCGACGAUCUGUAGCUGGUCUGAGAGGACGACCAGCCACACUGGGACUGAGACACGGCCCAGACUCCUACGGGAGGCAGCAGUGGGGAAUUCUGGACAAUGGGCGAAAGCCUGAUCCAGCCAUGCCGCGUGCAGGAUGAAGGCCUUCGGGUUGUAACUGCUUUUGUACGGAACGAAAAGGUUCGGGCUAAUAAGCCGAGCUCAUGACGGUACCGUAAGAAUAAGCACCGGCUAACUACGUGCCAGCCGCCGCGGUAA
rnacentral:rRNA from 1 species